rnacentral:rRNA from 1 species
CAACAGGGAUUGCCCUAGUAACGGCGAGUGAAGCGGCAACAGCUCAAAUUUGAAAUCUGGCUCUUUCAGAGUCCGAGUUGUAAUUUGCAGAGGGCGCUUUGGUGUUGGCAGCGGUCCAAGUUCCUUGGAACAGGACGUCACAGAGGGUGAGAAUCCCGUACGUGGUCGCUAGCCUUCGCCGUGUAAAGCCCCUUCGACGAGUCGAGUUGUUUGGGAAUGCAGCUCUAAAUGGGAGGUAAAUUUCUUCUAAAGCUAAAUACUGGCCAGAGACCGAUAGCGCACAAGUAGAGUGAUCGAAAGAUGAAAAGCACUUUGGAAAGAGAGUCAAAUAGCACGUGAAAUUGUUGAAAGGGAAGCGCUUGCAGCCAGACUUGCCUGUAGUUGCUUAUCCGGACUUUUGUCCGGUGCACUCUUCUGCGGGCAGGCCAGCAUCAGUUUGGGCGGUUGGAUAAAGGUCUCUGUCAUGUACCUCUCUUCGGGGAGAACUUAUAGGGGAGACGACAUGCAACCAGCCUGGACUGAGGUCCGCGCAUCUGCUAGGAUGCUGGCGUAAUGGCUGUAAGCGGCCCGUCUUGAAACACGGACCAAGGAGUCUAACAUCUAUGCGAGUGUUUGGGUGUCAAGCCCAGACGCGUAAUGAAAGUGAACGGAGGUGGGAACCCUUUGGGUGCACCAUCGACCGAUCCUGAUGUCUUCGGAUGGAUUUGAGUAAGAGCAUGGCUGUUGGGACCCGAAAGAUGGUGAACUAUGCUUGAAUAGGGUGAAGCCAGAGGAAACUCUGGUGGAGGCUCGCAGCGGUUCUGACGUGCAAAUCGAUCGUCAAAUUUGGGCAUAGGGGCGAAAGACUA